rnacentral:misc_RNA from 1 species
AUAGUUGGCUCCAUCAAGCUUCACGGGAUUAAUUUGCAGAGAGGAAUUGUCAAAAUUAAUUUUUGAAUCCACUGUCUUUCCAUCAACCAUAUUUUAAAAAGGAACAAGAAAAAAAUACACUGGUAGUGGUAAAAUUAUUCUAACAGUAGAAUCCACACAGGAGCAGUACCAAACAAAGGUUGAAUUAAUGAACAAAAGCAAACCAGCAAA